rnacentral:misc_RNA from 1 species
AUUAGUUUUCGUAGCAGACGAAAUUGACUCGUGUGUUACUGAUUUCUAAUCUAAAGAAUUAUCCUAACAUACCUAAUAUUCCUAUCUCCAAAUGUCUAGCUAUCGAAAUGUGUUAAAGUCUUAUCAGAAGACUCAUCGAGAGAGAGGACAGCUUGAAUCCAGAAAACACUUAGGAUUUCUUGAAAAGAAAAAGGAUUAUAAGAUUAGAGCAAAUGAGCGAGCUAAAAAAGAAAAAAUUAUAAAGACCUUAAAAAAUAAGGCAUUGGAUAAAAAUCCUGAUGAAUUCUAUUUUAAUAUGAUAAAUAGCAAAGUGAAAUCUGGAAUCCAUGAAGCAAAAGAUGAAGAGAAAACAUAUACUGACGCUCAACAUAAAUUAAUGAAUACACAGGAUUUAGGUUAUGUUAAAUAUAAGCAUACUUCAGAAAAAAAAAAAAUUGAGCAAUUAAAAAGUAGUAUGCAUUUCCUCGAUGUUGAAAAACCUAAUAAACACAUUGUCUUUGUCGAUUCAAAAACAGAAGAGAGAGAAUUUGACCCUGUCAAGUAUUUUGAUACUCAUCCUUCGCUUGUUGAUAGAAGUUUUAAUAGGCCAAAAAUGAGCACUCUAGAGAAGCCUAUAAAUAUUGGAGAAAAAGCAAUCUUAAGAACUACUGAUAAACGAAUCAAAACUUACAAAGAGUUAGGUCAGAGAUUGGAUAGAGAGAAAGAAUUAAGAGUCAUUCAAGAUAAACUCUCUGUAAAGAAACGAUUACUGAUGGAAAAGAAGACAAAGAAAAUAAAGAUUAAAGGAGAAAGCAAAACAAGUGCAGCUGUUUAUAAAUUGAAAGCUAAACGUAAACGUUAAAAAGUUAUCUUGAAUUUAGCUCUAUUCUUUUGUUAUACAAUUAAUUCAAAGUUAUUUUUAUCUUUUUUUGUUAACCUUCUUGUAUUUCUUCGUCUUCUUCGUAUUCCCCCUCUUCAUCAGCAGUAGCAUCCUGAUACUGCUGAUAUUCAGAUACAAGAUCGUUCAUGUUUGACUCAGCUUCAGUGAAUUCCAUUUCAUCCAUGCCUUCACCUGUAUACCAAUGAAGAAAAGCUUUUCUUCUGAACAUAGCAGUAAACUGCUCAGAAACUCGUUUGAAUAGUUCUUGAAUGGCAGUUGUAUUCCCAACAAAUGUUGCGGCCAUUUUCAGACCUCUAGGAGGUAUGUCACAAACAGCAGUUUUUACAUUAUUUGGUAUCCAUUCGACAAAGUAACUGCUGUUCUUAUUCUGAACAUUAAGCAUCUGUUCAUCUACUUCUUUCAUAGACAUACGACCUCUGAAGAGGGCUGCUACGGUUAAGUAACGACCGUGGCGUGGAUCGCAAGCAGCCAUCAUAUUCUUAGCAUCAAAUAUUUGUUGGGUUAGUUCAGGAACAGUAAGGGCUCUAUAUUGUUGACUUCCUCUUGAUGUCAACGGAGCAAAUCCAGGCAUAAAAAAAUGCAGUCUUGGGAAGGGUAUCAUAUUGACCGCCAAUUUUCUUAGAUCAGCAUUUAAUUGGCCAGGGAAUCGUAGGCACGUAGUAACACCUGACAUAGUUGCUGAAACUAAAUGAUUCAAAUCACCAUAAGUUGGAGUGGUGAGCUUCAAAGUUCUAAAACAUAUAUCAUAUAAAGCUUCAUUAUCAAUACAAUAUGUUUCAUCUGUGUUUUCAACUAGCUGGUGAACGGAAAGUGUAGCAUUAUAAGGUUCAACGACAGUAUCAGAAACCUUUGGAGAGGGCACGACUGAGAAAGUAUUCAUAAUUCUAUCAGGAUAUUCCUCCCUGAUUUUAGAAAUUAGAAGAGUUCCCAUUCCUGAGCCAGUUCCCCCACCUAACGAAUGGGUCAUUUGAAAUCCUUGCAAGCAGUCACAACUCUCUGCCUCUUUCCUAACAAUAUCCAAAAUGGAAUCAACCAGCUCUGCUCCUUCAGUAUAGUGACCUUUAGCCCAAUUAUUUCCUGCUCCGCUUUGACCAAAAAUGAAAUUAUCCGGCCUAAAAAUUUGUCCAAAAGGACCAGACCGAACAGAAUCCAUAGUUCCUGGUUCUAGGUCAACCAAGACUGAUCGGGGUACAUACUUUCCACCUUAAGAAGCUGGAAUUAGUAAAAUCAACAGAAAGAGUAAACUUUACCAGUAGCUUCAUUGAAAUAGACAUUAAUCCUCUCCAAUUGUAAAUCAGAAUCUCCAUGAUAACUUCCAGUUUGAUCGAUACCGUGCUCAUCAGAAAUAACCUCCCAGAACUGAAACAAAAGUAAAAUAUAGCUAAAAUAAAUGGCUUGAGCAGAAGUAUUGAAUUACCUUAGCUCCAAUCUGGUUUCCACAUUGUCCAGCUUGAAUACUAACGAUUUCUCUCAUUUUUUUUUACUUUAUUGUUUUUUUCAGUAUCACUUAUUUAAAACAAAAUUAAAAAUGAUUUAAAAUAUGUAACGUCAAUAACAUGUCAUAUUUUUCAAAUAGAAUAAAAUAUGUUAAGUACACAUAGGGGGGCGCUGAUAGUUAUCAUUUGACGCAUUUCUAAUCCAUUGAUAAGCAUAUAUUCACUAAACACUUUAAUAAUAGUCAGGUUUUCUUUUAAAAAUAGUGAAUCUAUUUUUAGCAGUUUUCUUAUAUAUCAAUGAUUUUAUGCAAAUUCAAAAGUCUAUUUAUGCCAACUAUGCAUCAUGUUGUGAGAUGGAUGAUGUAUUUGAGACGGAGGAAGAGAUUGAUCGACAUCUGGCAAGGGUGAAUCUUGAAAGGGGCUUGAGGUAUAUCCAUUAUUGUACAAGAAAAGUCUUUUUGACAUUUCGAAGGACAUAAACAUGAUACCGGCAUAUGGCAUGACUUUGAUAAGAUUUGCAGUUGUUCCAUUCCAUAGGGCUAAUACACCUUUAGAUCGGACUGUUUGAACAAAUCCAUCAAUCAUACCAUUAAAAUGAACAUCUGGUCCCGCUCCCUCAAUAAAUUUCGACUGAGCUUGCAAUUUUUUUCUUAUGGUGUCAAAAGGAUAAGAAAGGGUUUGAGCAAAAGCACCAGCCAAACAACCAUCAAUGAAAUUCUCGAGAGGCGUCAUUUGUGACUUGGGUUUUUUCCAGGCUUUUUCCAAUAUCUCAUAAGCCAUGAAAGUUGCUCCAGCGAAUGGUAUAACUCCAAUAAUUGACGUACCCAUACCUUUGUAUAAACUUAGAGCUCCUUCCUCAGCUGCUAUAACUUUGAAAGCGUGUACAAUUCCUUUGUAUUUUGCUUUUGAAAGAUCAGCGUGCUGAGCUGUCAAUCUUGUUUUUACCAUAUCCAUAGGAUAUGUUGCAAUGACCGCCACAACGCCUCCUGCAGAUCCAGCUACCAUUGCAUUGAUUGGGGAUAUUUUUCCAUUUUUAUCAGACAACACAUUCUUAAAUUUUUCAUAAGCAGCAAAUUGAAGAGCAUAGUAAGGAAAUCCUCUGAGAGAAGCAAUAGCAUUUCCUUUCCAAAAUGCUCUGAUUCCUUCAUUUUUAUACUGAUUGACAAAUGUUGAAAGCAUUCCACUCCUUGCGUCUCCAAUUCCAACUUGUUGAAGUGUUUUUACAACAUCUAAGGGUGAACAUACGGUCCUGCAUAUAACGCCGGCGUUGCCACCGCAUAUUAAGUUUUGAGUAAAUGUUAAUCUGUUGUCCUUCGGCAUAACCACAAAUAUGAGAUAGCCGCUCUUAUUUACUGACCUUCUUCACAACAAUGUGACUGAACGAAGGUUACUA